AGGGUGUAUUUCUACAUAUUAUACACAUAUGGAGUACACCUUAUUCUAAUUAGGAUCCCAUUCUUGUCCUUUGGGCAUAUGCCAAGGAAUGGGAUAACUGAUUCAAAUGGUGGUUCCAUUCCAGGUGUUCUGAGGAAUCUCCAGACUGCUUUCCAGAGUGGUUGCACCAAUUUGCAGUCCCACCAGCAAUGUAUGAGUGUACCUUUCCCCCCACAACCUUGCCGAUAUUUAUUGUUACUUGUAUACUUGAUAAUUGCUAUUCUGACUGGAGUGAGAUAAAAUCUCUGUGUAGUUUUAAUUUGCGUUUCUCUAAGUGCUAGAGAUGUUGAGCAUUUUUUCAUAUCUUUGUUGACUGAACGUAUUUCUUCUUUGUGAAGUGCCUGUUCUGUUCCUUUGCCAAUUUAUUGAUUGGGUUAUUUGUGUUUUUUGGGGUGUUAAGUUUUUUGAGUUCUUUAUAUAUCCUGGAGAUUAAUGCUGUCACUGAGAUUCAGGUGGCAAAGAUUUUCUCCCAUUCUGUACUUUCUCUCUUCACAUUCUUGAUUAUUUCCUUUUCUGUGAAGAAGCUUUUUAGUUUGAUACCAUUCCAUUUAUUGAUUUUUUUUUUUAUUUUACUUCUUGUGCUUUAGGAGUCUUGUUGGGGAAGUUGGUUCCUAAGCCCAUGAUGGAGAUUGAGCCUAUUUUUUCUGUUAGUAGGUGAAGGGUCUCUGGUCUAAUGCCUAGACCACUUGACUACUCUGAGCUGAGUUUUAUUCAGGGUGAGAGAUAGGGGUUAAAUUUCAUUCUGCUACAUGUGGAUUUCCAGUUUUCCCAGCGCUAUUUGGUGAAGAGGCUAUCUUCUCCAUUGCAUGUUUCUGGUGCCUUUGCUUAGUAUGAGUUAACUGUAUUUAUGUGGGUUUGUCUCUGUAUCUUCUAUUCUUCUAUUCAAGCCUGUUUUGGUGCCAAUACCAUGCUGUUUUUAUU
rnacentral:lncRNA from 1 species